UACGUAGGGUGCAAGCGUUUGUCCGGAAUUAUUGGGCGUAAAGGGCUCGUAGGCGGUUUGUCGCGUCGGGAGUGAAAACAUCUGGCUUAACUGGGUGCUUGCUUUCGGUACGGGCAGACUGGAGGUAUGCAGGGGAGAACGGAAUUCCUGGUGUAGCGGUGAAAUGCGCAGAUAUCAGGAGGAACACCGGUGGCGAAGGCGGUUCUCUGGGCAUUACCUGACGCUGAGGAGCGAAAGUGUGGGGAGCGAACAGG
rnacentral:rRNA from 1 species